CCUACGGGAGGCAGCAGUGGGGAAUAUUGGACAAUGGGGGCAACCCUGAUCCAGCCAUGCCGCGUGUGUGAAGAAGGCCCUCGGGUUGUAAAGCACUUUCAGUGAGGAAGAACGCCUGGUGGUUAAUACCCAUCAGGAAAGACAUCACUCACAGAAGAAGCACCGGCUAACUCCGUGCCAGCAGCCGCGGUAAUACGGAGGGUGCGAGCGUUAAUCGGAAUUACUGGGCGUAAAGCGCGCGUAGGUGGCUUGAUAAGCCGGUUGUGAAAGCCCCGGGCUCAACCUGGGAACGGCAUCCGGAACUGUCAAGCUAGAGUGCAGGAGAGGAAGGUAGAAUUCCCGGUGUAGCGGUGAAAUGCGUAGAGAUCGGGAGGAAUACCAGUGGCGAAGGCGGCCUUCUGGACUGACACUGACACUGAGGUGCGAAAGCGUGGGUAGCAAACAGGAUUGGAUACCCCUGUAGUC
rnacentral:rRNA from 1 species